rnacentral:lncRNA from 1 species
ACGAGCAGGUACACACCUUGUAACGACUGCGAGAAAAAAUUCAAUUCUAAUUUACGCAAUAAUGAUCUGCAAGAGGAAUGCUCGUUUUGUUAGACGGAAAAGAGGCAAAUGGCGGCCUUGGACUACAAACGAUACUGAGGAGGCAAGAGGAGGCUACCGAAGAGGCAAUUAUUGAAUUCGGAGUUUUAGAUUCAUUUAUGAGAAGAUACUCACUUAACAUAUAUAUCAUCAUUGGGGAGGAUCGUAUCAUGAAGAAUCCACGUACUUUGUACAAGAAUUAAAACUUAUCAGUUUCUAAUGUUUAAAAAAAGCUAAAACAAUAUAUCUGUAAUUGUCAA